rnacentral:rRNA from 1 species
UAACAAGGAUUCCCCUAGUAACUGCGAGUGAAGCGGGAAAAGCUCAAAUUUAAAAUCUGGCGGUCUUCGGCCGUCCGAGUUGUAAUCUGGAGAAGCGUUUUCCGCGCUGGACCGUGUACAAGUCUCUUGGAACAGAGCGUCAUAGAGGGUGAGAAUCCCGUCUUUGACACGGACUACCAGUGCUAUGUGAUGCGCUCUCGAUGAGUCGAGUUGUUUGGGAAUGCAGCUCAAAAUGGGUGGUAAAUUCCAUCUAAAGCUAAAUAUUGGCGAGAGACCGAUAGCGAACAAGUACCGUGAGGGAAAGAUGAAAAGCACUUUGGAAAGAGAGUUAAACAGUACGUGAAAUUGCUGAAAGGGAAACGAUUGAAGUCAGUCGCGUGUGCUAGAACUCAGCCUUGCUUUUGCUUGGUGCAUUUUCUAGUGUACGGGCCAGCAUCAGUUUUGGCCGCCGGAAAAAGGCCUUGGGAAUGUGGCACCUUCGGGUGUGUUAUAGCCCUUGGUUGUAUACGGUGGCUGGGACUGAGGAACAUAGCAUGCCUUUACGGCGGGGCUUCGGCCACCUUCAUGCUUUGGAUGCUGGCGUAAUGGCUUUAAACGACCCGUCUUGAAACACGGACCAAGGAGUCUAACAUGCCUGCGAGUGUUUGGGUGGAAAACCCGAGCGCGUAAUGAAAGUGAAAGUUGGGACUUCUGUCGUGGAAGGCACCGACGCCCGGACCAGACCUUCUGUGACGGAUCCGCGGUAGAGCAUGUAUGUUGGGACCCGAAAGAUGGUGAACUAUGCCUGAAUAGGGUGAAGCCAGAGGAAACUCUGGUGGAGGCUCGUAGCGAUUCUGACGUGCAAAUCGAUCGUCAAAUUUGGG